rnacentral:rRNA from 1 species
CUUGGUCAUUUAGAGGAAGUAAAAGUCGUAACAAGGUUUCCGUAGGUGAACCUGCGGAAGGAUCAUUCACAAUGAGUGUUUUAUGGCACUCUUUAAAAAUCCAUAUCCACCUUGUGUGCAAUGUUUGUUGGGAGAGAGGCAACUCUUUCCCUUCACAAAUAUCAACCUAUAUCUUUAACAACAUUCGUCUGAUAACAUAUUAUGAAUAUACUUAAUUCAAAAUAUAACUUUCAACAACGGAUCUCUUGGUUCUGGCAUCGAUGAAGAACGCAGCGAAAUGCGAUAAGUAAUGUGAAUUGCAGAAUUCAGUGAAUCAUCGAAUCUUUGAACGCACAUUGCGCCCCUUGGUAUUCCGAGGGGCAUGCCUGUUCGAGCGUCAUUAUGACCAAUCAAGCCUAGCUUGGUGUUGGGGUUCGCGGUUCCGCGGCCCUUAAAAUCAGUGGCGGUGCCGCCCGGCUCUAAGCGUAGUAACUUUCUCGCUAUGGUGUCCGGGUGGUCUCCUCCAGAACUCCCCCAUUUUACGGUUGACCUCGGAUCAGGUAGGGAUACCCGCUGAACUUAAGCAUAUCAAUAAGCGGAGGA